ensembl:lncRNA
AGAGAAAUGUGAGGGUUGCUUUUGCAGCCACGUCACAGUGCAAUAGAGUCAUUUCAUAUUGUUUGACUUUUGACUUGGCACUUUGAGCCUCAAGUGAUUUUGGGAGAGGAGAAAUGGUCUGCUGGCCUUGCUGGAAAUUUUACCGGAAAAGCUUUGAUUUUAGAGAUUUCUGUCAUUCACACACUGUUUUUUUUGUUUGUUUGUUUGCUUUUUGGAUUUCAUACCACAAACGCAAACAAUACUUUUUCUUGGUUCACUGUUUUUCCCUACGAGUAAGAUAUGUGUUCAUUCAGAUUUUAGUUUGGUCGACAUCUCCAUAGUCUUAAACGGAACAUUUAAAUGAAAAAGUCGAAAACAUUUUCCAUGAUGUCAAUUGGGUUGAAAUUGUUUAAAAGAAUUCCUCUUUUAUCUUUUAUACACGUGGUAAUGGACCUGCUGAGUUCGGUAUUAAAAAAGUGUGUCUGGUUUGAUGGGGAUUGUGAAAGGCAUGGUAACAAUUAAGGGCUUAAUGUAAGCAAAGGGUGACUCAGAGAACUGAAACUUUACUCGGACUAGCUCAAAUGAGAGGAGACCACUUCUAACCAUCAGUCUGUUUGGUUUGUUUUUUUGGUUUAUUUUGCCAAUAGGGAAAUUAUUUUACUAAGAUAUUAGUGACAAAUGUCUGAAAAAUACACGGUACCAUUCAAACAAAGAUGAACACGUUUGCAGUAAAUUCCCAAAGUGUUGGGGUGGUUAAAACUUUGCAUUAUUGGUUUCAGCAAGGCGUUGCGUCAUCAUCCAGCCUUUUGAAACUGAAAUGUCAACAAGUAAGUUUCAGUUUUUUAUUUUUAACUUUUAAUUGCCUUCCUUUCUAUUUACCAAGCUAAAGAAGACAUACAAACACACAAGUGGUAUUAUAGUGUCCGUACUUGACUUUCGUGUAGCUUUGUUAAUUAUAGGUAAAGCUGGUGUCCACUUGCCUCUUCUCUGACAGCCCCACACCCUGGAGAGAUUAUAGAAAAAAAUCUAAUCUGAACUUCCAAUUGACCUUUGCUUUCAUUCUAACAUCGGAGUUGUGCAAGGAUGAAGCGCAACUGGUUUCUCAUUUAGGCGAUCAUAUUUAAGCAUUUAUAUAUUUAAAUCUCCAUCGAUGAUCAGUCUCCAUCUAAUGAACAUUGAAAUAUUUUAAUAUUAUAAUAAAUGGUGGGUAAGUGUCUUUCCCAAAGUCCUACAAUGUGAUUCAGAAAAUGUUCAGUUUCCUCAUUAUCAUUUGGAAAUGAUUAAAUGUGCACAUCCUUUGAGUGG